UGACGCCCGGCGGCCGGGGACACUCUUUUAAGUCUCCCCGAGACAGAUCAAGCAAGAACACGGCCUCGACUUGGAACCUGCGGCGGGAACAGAGGUGGCUGCUUGGGCUCCAUCCUUCACGCCUGCGUCAUGACCAACUCAUGGAAGAAGAGAAGGAGGGAGAGAGCUGAAGGGGGCGCUCAUCCCAGAAGUGACGGCAUGGAAUGCCUGUAACUUGUGACCGUGAGGAACUCCCAAUUUGAGGAUGCGGAGGACGCUGAGCCCGAAGAUGGGAAGAGUCUCAAUUAUUGUAACACUGGUGCGAUGUCCUGAGUUAACCAGCCCUGAUCGACCUCACCCCAGACUUCCUGUUACGGGAGAUCACAAAUUCCUGCUUCUUUAUUUACUUGUUUGUUUGUUUGUUUAUGUGGUGCUGGGGAUUGAACCCAGUGCCUCACAUGUGCUAGGCAGGUGCUCUACCACUGAGCCCCAGCCCCAGCCCCAAUUCCUGCUUUUUAAAGCAAGUUGAGUUGGGUUCUCUCUUAAGACAACAUCCUGAUGAAUUUAUUUAUGUCUCAUAAUGCAAGAAGAUGGCUCUAAUUGUUCAUAUGUAAUGUGAGGUUUCAUUAAAAAAAGAGAGAGAGAGAGAAAGCAACCUGUCAGUGCUGGAGAAGUUAACAGGUAUCCAUCAAAGACCAGGGAUCAGCCAGCUAUAGUGCCACACACCUGUCAUCCCAGAGGCUUGGGAGGCUGAGACAGGAGGAUCGUGAGUUCAAAGCCAGCCUCAGCAACUUAAUGAGACCCUAAGCAACUCAGUGAGACCCUGUCCCCAAAUCAAAUAUAAAAAAGGGCUGGGGAUGUGGCUCAGUGGUUGAGUGUCCCUGAGUUCAAUCCCAGGUACAAAAAGAAAAAAACAAACAAACAAA